rnacentral:rRNA from 1 species
GACGUAGGGCGCGAGCGUUGUCCGGAUUUAUUGGGCGUAAAGAGCUCGUAGGCGGCUUGUCGCGUCGUCUGUGAAAUCCCGCGGCUCAACCGCGGGUCUGCAGUCGAUACGGGCAGGCUAGAGUUCGGUAGGGGAGACUGGAAUUCCUGGUGUAGCGGUGAAAUGCGCAGAUAUCAGGAGGAACACCGGUGGCGAAGGCGGCCCCCUGGUUGGAUACUGACGCUGAGA